rnacentral:sRNA from 1 species
UGCUUAGUCCCUGAGGAGUGAAGCUGUUUGAUUGGAUUAGAAGGAUUAGGAGGUGUGGCCUUGUUGGGGGAAGUGUGUCACUAGGGGGUGGGCUUUGAGGUUUCCAAAGCCCAGACUUGCUCUCUGCCUAUGCUGCUCCGGCACCUGCCUGCAUGCUGCUUUGCUCCCUGCCAUGACGAAUCGGGGCCAAACCUCUGAAAUGGGUAGCCACCUGUUUCCUGCUGGCCUGGAUUCCUCCGCUGUGUGGAUCUGGUAGUGUGACUCACUGUGCUGCCCGGUGCGGGCCCGGCCCUGGCUCAGAACACGGAUAAGCAUUCCCACAGCGGGCGUGGCUCCAGACCCUACUGCUGCCACUACCUUCUGACAGACCAGCAGACUGGGCGAGGAAUCACUAGUUGUUGCUUAAGAGGUUCCACACUCUGACGCUUUGAAGAGGACUAGUGUGGGGAAGUGGUGUGAGGCCAAGGACCAAGCCCUGCCCCACUCCAACUCCCAGGGCUUUUGUCGAGGAAGCAAGAGCACCACAGAACAGGUAAGGCCAGGAGGCAUGCCUUAGGGCUUGGCAUUCUGUAUGGUCUCAGAACAGCUUUGAGCUGUGCGUUGGCAAAUGGCUGGAUUCUUGAUACUCGAUUCUCGAGCUGCGUGACUGGAGGUGCAGCCAGAUAUGAGGGAGGUGUUCUGAGAGCAGCAGGAGGUGAACUAGGACUAGUUCUGCGCUCACUACUGCUCUGGCCAUGGCCACUUCAAUACCAACUUACAAGUUAUCCCGGCCCCUGCUCCCUCUACCUCAGAGAGAGAGAGAGACAGAUAGAAGAUAGACAGACACAUACACAGACAGACAGACAGACAGACAGACAGACAGACAGACAGACACAGAGACAGGCAGACGGGGAGGGGGCAUGUCUCUCCCCACCGGUCUCUGCUCCCUUAGUGCUGAGAUUAAAGGUAUACACCAUUAAACCUGGCCUAGCACUCUCUGUAUCUCUGUGCCCUUCCCAUCCCAAGAAACCAAGGAGCCACGUGGUUUUGGCAGAGUGAUCCAUGGAGUCCGGAGCCCACACCCCUCUUCAGGAUUCCCUCAGGGCUAUCCUCAUUGGUCACCACAGGCACACCCUAGACCAAGGGCAGGACAGAACACCAAUGUCCAGGCAGUUUCUGUCUUACCCAUGACCCUUGGUAGCCUUUACCAGAGUUGAUAUGACCUCAUAGGUAGCAUGGCAGUUACCAGAGUCCUCCCAGCCCCACCCCAGGGCAGGCAGAGAGAUGUGCAGAGACCAGACUCUCGUUAACCGUUUG